UGAAUUCGAAAAGGCCAAAC
rnacentral:miRNA from 1 species